rnacentral:rRNA from 1 species
UGGGGAAUUUUGCACAAUGGGGGAAACCCUGAUGCAGCGACGCCGCGUGAUUUAGAAGGCCUUCGGGUUGUAAAAAUCUUUUCUAUGGGAAGAAAAUGACAGUACCAUAGGAAUAAGGACCGGCUAAUUACGUGCCAGCAGCCGCGGUAAUACGUAAGGUCCGAGCGUUGUCCGGAAUCAUUGGGCGUAAAGGGUACGUAGGCGGGUAGACAAGUUAGAAGUGAAAUCCUAUAGCUGAACUAUAGUAAGCUUUUAAAACUGGUCAGCUUGAGGUAUGGAAGGGAAAGUGGAAUUCCUAGUGUAGCGGUGAAAUGCGCAGAUAUUAGGAGGAAUACCGGUGGCGAAGGCGACUUUCUGGCCAUAACCUGACGCUGAGGUACGAAAGCGUGGGUAGCAAACAGG